UCGAGAAUUUUUCACAAUGGGCGAAAGCCUGAUGGAGCGACGCCGCGUGGGGGAUGAAUGGCUUCGGCCCGUAAACCCCUGUCAUUCGCGAGCAAACGUUAUUAUUUAAAAGAUGAUAGCCUGAUAGUAGCGAAAGAGGAAGGGACGGCUAACUCCGUGCCAGCAGCCGCGGUAAUACAGAGGUCCCAAGCGUUGUUCGGAUUUACUGGGCGUAAAGGGUGCGUAGGUGGUGGGGUAAGUCGGAUGUGAAAUCUCCGAGCUCAACUCGGAAAGUGCAUUGGAAACUACCCUGCUCGAGGGUUGGAGGGGGGACUGGAAUACUUGGUGUAGCAGCGAAAUGCGUAGAUAUCAAGUGGAACACCAGUGGCGAAGGCGAGUCCCUGGACAACUCCUGACACUGAGGCACGAAAGCUAGGGGAGCAAACAGG
rnacentral:rRNA from 1 species